rnacentral:rRNA from 1 species
CAUUGAACGCUGGCGGCAUCCCUACCACAUGCAAGUCGAACGGCAGCACGGGAGCAAUCCUGGUGGCGAGUGGCGAACGGGUGAGUAAUGUAUCGGAACGUACCUUUCAGUGGGGGAUAACGUAGCGAAAGUUACGCUAAUACCGCAUAUUCUGUGAGCAGGAAAGCAGGGGAUCGCAAGACCUUGCGCUGAUUGAGCGGCCGAUAUCAGAUUAGCUAGUUGGUGAGGUAAAGGCUCACCAAGGCGACGAUCUGUAGCGGGUCUGAGAGGAUGAUCCGCCACACUGGAACUGAGACACGGUCCAGACUCCUACGGGAGGCAGCAGUGGGGAAUUUUGGACAAUGGGGGCAACCCUGAUCCAGCCAUGCCGCGUGAGUGAAGAAGGCCUUCGGGUUGUAAAGCUCUUUCAGCCGGGAAGAAAUCACAUGGGUUAAUACCCUGUGUGGAUGACGGUACCGGAAUAAGAAGCACCGGCUAACUACGUGCCAGCAGCCGCGGUAAUACGUAGGGUGCGAGCGUUAAUCGGAAUUACUGGGCGUAAAGCGUGCGCAGGCGGUUUGUUAAGAUAGGCGUGAAAUCCCCGGGCUCAACCUGGGAACUGCGUUUAUGACUGGCAGGCUAGAGUAUGGCAGAGGGGGGUGGAGUUCCACGUGUAGCAGUGAAAUGCGUAGAGAUGUGGAGGGACACCGAUGGCGAAAGGCAGCCCCCUGGGCCAAUACUGACGCUCAUGCACGAAAGCGUGGGUAGCAAACAGGA